AAAGGUAGAGGUGCAGCUGAGAUGAGUAUGCUUCCUGAGGACGACCAGUCCGUUGAAGUUUGCUGAAAGGCAAGGCUGCCGAAGAACGAUUCCUGGUGAGCUUCGUUCUGGCUGUAUAUCAAAUAGGUAUAUAGCUGUCAUCAUGUGUUUGAUGGAGAGCUAUCGCA
rnacentral:ncRNA from 1 species